UAAGGAAUAUUGGUCAAUGGAGGCAACUCUGAACCAGCCAUGCCGCGUGCAGGAAGACUGCCCUAUGGGUUGUAAACUGCUUUUAUACGGGAAUAAACCUUGAUUCGUGAAUCAAGCUGAAUGUACCGUAAGAAUAAGGAUCGGCUAACUCCGUGCCAGCAGCCGCGGUAAUACGGAGGAUCCAAGCGUUAUCCGGAUUUAUUGGGUUUAAAGGGAGCGUAGGCGGCCUAUUAAGUCAGGGGUGAAAGACGGUGGCUCAACCAUCGCAGUGCCUUUGAUACUGGUAGGCUUGAAUGUAGUUGAGGUAGGCGGAAUGUGACAAGUAGCGGUGAAAUGCAUAGAUAUGUCACAGAACACCGAUUGCGAAGGCAGCUUACUAAGCUAUGAUUGACGCUGAGGCUCGAAAGCGUGGGGAUCAAACA
rnacentral:rRNA from 1 species